rnacentral:rRNA from 1 species
UACGGAGGGUGCAAGCGUUAUCCGGAUUCACUGGGUUUAAAGGGUGCGUAGGCGGGCAGGUAAGUCCGUGGUGAAAUCUCUGAGCUUAACUCAGAAACUGCCAUGGAUACUAUUUGUCUUGAAUAUUGUGGAGGUAAGCGGAAUAUGUCAUGUAGCGGUGAAAUGCUUAGAUAUGACAUAGAACACCUAUUGCGAAGGCAGCUUACUACGCAUAUAUUGACGCUGAGGCACGAAAGCGUGGGGAUCAAACAGG